GGUCAGCUGACACAUCCCUGCCAAUCUCCGGCAGACCCUCCCUCCCUCCCAGACCCUCCUACUUCCUGGACAGCAUCCAUGUUGAAGACAGCUUCAACAUGGAUGCUGUCCAGGAGGUGGGAGGGUCUGGGAGGGAGGGUCUGCCGGAGAUUGGCAGGGAUGUGUCAGCUG